AAAGUCGUAACAAGGUCUCCGUUGGUGAACCAGCGGAGGGAUCAUUACCGAGUUUACAACUCCCAAACCCCUGUGAACAUACCUUAUGUUGCCUCGGCGGAUCAGCCCGCGCCCCGUAAAAAGGGACGGCCCGCCGCAGGAACCCUAAACUCUGUUUUUAGUGGAACUUCUGAGUAUAAAAAACAAAUAAAUCAAAACUUUCAACAACGGAUCUCUUGGUUCUGGCAUCGAUGAAGAACGCAGCAAAAUGCGAUAAGUAAUGUGAAUUGCAGAAUUCAGUGAAUCAUCGAAUCUUUGAACGCACAUUGCGCCCGCCAGUAUUCUGGCGGGCAUGCCUGUUCGAGCGUCAUUUCAACCCUCAAGCCCAGCUUGGUGUUGGGAGCUGCAGUCCUGCUGCACUCCCCAAAUACAUUGGCGGUCACGUCGAGCUUCCAUAGCGUAGUAAUUUACAUAUCGUUACUGGUAAUCGUCGCGGCCACGCCGUUAAACCCCAACUUCUGAAUGUUGACCUCGGAUCAGGUAGGAAUACCC
rnacentral:rRNA from 1 species